GGCGCUCGCGUGUCUUGGGGCUUUGCUGCCGACAAAAGAAAAGAGGUAAAAAUCACAAAAGAGAAAGGAGGUGUGGGGCAGGGUAUGGAUCAGGAGAGGCGAUGGAGAGCGAGGCAAUGGGUUAGGCGGCAGCAGCGGCCGCCAUGGGAGCCGCCGGAGAUUUCCCCCUGGAUCCAGUGCGCAGCUUGCCGAUCUUCGAGCCGGGGGCCUAGCCCCGCGCCUCCUUUCAUGAUGAGGGGAGCAAGAUCGAAGGCUGGGCAACCGACGGGCUGAGAGAUUCGUCGGUGGCUGCUCACGACAGUUGUGGCGAACCUGGUGGCGAGGGGAGCAGAGACGGCGCUCCUGCCGAGUCUGGCGAGGCGGCAAGUCGGCGGUGAAGCACGAUCCCAAGGGGCUGGGCUGGAUUAGAAGCUUGUCGAUCUUGAAUUUGUGGUCGUCGUCGCACGGCUCUGUUCAGGACGAGGUGGGUGAGAUCGAGGGCUGGGGGCGCUGCACUGCGAGAUUCGUCGGUGGUUGCUCACGACAGUUGCGGCAACCCUGGGGGUGAGAACAGUACAGACAGCGGUCCUACGGAGUCCGGGGAGUCCGCGGUCAAGCCAGAUCAGUAAGCGCCGGGGUGGAUUAAAAGGUAUUUCAUGCCUGAUUAACAUUGUGUGGCGUGUGGUGAUGACUAGAGAAUUUACAUUUUUUUUGGCAUGUGGCUGGUGAUUGUUCUUGUGGCGGCGGUGGCCUGCGGUCUGUGUGGGGCUGUGGUUACAUGAUGGCAGCAAAAUUUAUGAUGUUGUAGGAGCUGGACGAAUGGUUCAUGUGGGUUACAACAAUGAAAAUGCAGCUGAUUUUUGUAUUGGCUGGUUAUUCUGACAGGUUACAACAAUGAAAAUGGCUAGUUGGAAUCA